UGGCGGCGUGCCUAAUACAUGCAAGUCGAGCGAGGAAAGUAGCAAUACUUUUCGAGCGGCGAACGGGUGAGUAACACGUUGGGAAUCUACCCCUGAGACCGGAAUACCUGGAAGAAAUUUCAGCUAAUGCCGGAUACGUGGUCAACACAGAAGUGAUGAUCAUAAAAGGCGGCCUUAAAGCCGCGCUGAGGGAUGAACCUGCGGCGCAUUAGCUAGUUGGUGAGAUAAAAGCCCACCAAGGCGAGGAUGCGUAGCCGACCUGAGAGGGUGAACGGCCACACUGGAACUGAGACACGGUCCAGACUCCUACGGGAGGCAGCAGUAGGGAGUAUUCGGCAAUGGGGGAAACCCUGACCGAGCAACGCCGCGUGAAUGAUGAAGGUCUUCGGAUUGUAAAAUUCUGUGGUAAGAGAAGAAAGAUAUAAAGAGGAAAUGCUUUGUAUUUGACGGUAUCUUGCUAGAAAGCCACGGCUAACUACGUGCCAGCAGCCGCGGUAAUACGUAGGUGGCAAGCGUUAUCCGGAAUUACUGGGCGUAAAGAGUGAGCAGGCGGUUAGAUAAGUCUAUGGUUAAAUGCAACAGCUCAACUGUUGUUCGCUAUAGAAACUAUUUAACUAGAGUGCGGGAGAGGUAAGUGGAACUCCAUAUGUAGCGGUGGAAUGCUUAGAUAUAUGGAAGAACACCAGAGGCGAAGGCGGCUUACCAGUCCGUAACUGACGCUCAGUCACGAAAGCGUGGGGAGCAAAUAGGAUUAGAUAUCCUAGUAGUCCACGCCGUAAACGAUGAGAACCUGAUGCAGGAGAUAUUCUGUGUCGAAGCUAACGCGUUAAGUUCUCCGCCUGGGUACUACGUUCGCAAGAAUAAAACUUAAAGGAAUUGACGGGCGCCCGCACAAGCAGUGGAGCAUGGGGUUUAAUUCGUCGAUACACGAAAAACCUUACCAGGGCUUGACAUCCCGCUAAAAGCCUUAGAAAUAAGGAAAUAGUUAUAGCGGUGACAGGUGGUGCAUGGUUGUCGUCAGCUCGU
rnacentral:rRNA from 1 species